GAUGAACGCUGGCGGCGUGCCUAACACAUGCAAGUCGAACGAAGCACCUUACCUGAUCCUCCGGAUGAAAGUCUGGUGACUGAGUGGCGGACGGGUGAGUAACGCGUGGGUAACCUGCCCUGUACAGGGGGAUAACAGCUGGAAACGGCUGCUCAGACCGCAUAAGCGCACGAGGAGACAUCUUCUUGUGUGAAAAACUCCGGUGGUACAGGAUGGGCCCGCGUCUGAUUAGCUGGUUGGCAGGGUAACGGCCUACCAAGGCAACGAUCAGUAGCCGGUCUGAGAGGAUGAACGGGCACAUUGGAACUGGGACACGGUCCAAACUCCUACGGGAGGCAGCAGUGGGGAAUAUUGCACAAUGGGUGAAAUCCUGAUGCAGCAACGCCGCGUGAGUGAAGAAGUAUUUCGGUAUGUAAAGCUCUAUCAGCAGGGAAGAUAAUGACGGUACCUGACUAAGAAGCUCCGGCUAAAUACGUGCCAGCCGCCGCUGUAA
rnacentral:rRNA from 1 species